GAUGAACGCUGGCGGCGUGCCUAAUACAUGCAAGUCGAGCGAACGGACGAGAAGCUUGCUUCUCUGAUGUUAGCGGCGGACGGGUGAGUAACACGUGGAUAACCUACCUAUAAGACUGGGAUAACUUCGGGAAACCGGAGCUAAUACCGGAUAAUAUUUUGAACCGCAUGGUUCAAAAGUGAAAGACGGUCUUGCUGUCACUUAUAGAUGGAUCCGCGCUGCAUUAGCUAGUUGGUAAGGUAACGGCUUACCAAGGCAACGAUGCAUAGCCGACCUGAGAGGGUGAUCGGCCACACUGGAACUGAGACACGGUCCAGACUCCUACGGGAGGCAGCAGUAGGGAAUCUUCCGCAAUGGGCGAAAGCCUGACGGAGCAACGCCGCGUGAGUGAUGAAGGUCUUCGGAUCGUAAAACUCUGUUAUUAGGGAAGAACAUAUGUGUAAGUAACUGUGCACAUCUUGGCGGUACCUAAUCAGAAAGCCACGGCUAACUACGUGCCAGCAGCCGCGGUAAUACGUAGGUGGCAAGCGUUAUCCGGAAUUAUUGGGCGUAAAGCGCGCGUAGGCGGUUUUUUAAGUCUGAUGUGAAAGCCCACGGCUCAACCGUGGAGGGUCAUUGGAAACUGGAAAACUUGAGUGCAGAAGAGGAAAGUGGAAUUCCAUGUGUAGCGGUGAAAUGCGCAGAGAUAUGGAGGAACACCAGUGGCGAAGGCGACUUUCUGGUCUGUAACUGACGCUGAUGUGCGAAAGCGUGGGGAUCAAACAGGAUUAGAUACCCUGGUAGUCCACGCCGUAAACGAUGAGUGCUAAGUGUUAGGGGGUUUCCGCCCCUUAGUGCUGCAGCUAACGCAUUAAGCACUCCGCCUGGGGAGUACGACCGCAAGGUUGAAACUCAAAGGAAUUGACGGGGACCCGCACAAGCGGUGGAGCAUGUGGUUUAAUUCGAAGCAACGCGAAGAACCUUACCAAAUCUUGACAUCCUUUGACAACUCUAGAGAUAGAGCCUUCCCCUUCGGGGGACAAAGUGACAGGUGGUGCAUGGUUGUCGUCAGCUCGUGUCGUGAGAUGUUGGGUUAAGUCCCGCAACGAGCGCAACCCUUAAGCUUAGUUGCCAUCAUUAAGUUGGGCACUCUAAGUUGACUGCCGGUGACAAACCGGAGGAAGGUGGGGAUGACGUCAAAUCAUCAUGCCCCUUAUGAUUUGGGCUACACACGUGCUACAAUGGACAAUACAAAGGGCAGCGAAACCGCGAGGUCAAGCAAAUCCCAUAAAGUUGUUCUCAGUUCGGAUUGUAGUCUGCAACUCGACUACAUGAAGCUGGAAUCGCUAGUAAUCGUAGAUCAGCAUGCUACGGUGAAUACGUUCCCGGGUCU
rnacentral:rRNA from 1 species